rnacentral:lncRNA from 1 species
GCUUGAUCUGCUUUUUUAUGGUUAAAUAAUUAGUAAGAAUUUUACUGUUUAAAUUGCAAAAUAUCAUUUUUAAAACAUUUCAGAAUAUUUAACUGCUAUGUAAACUCAUUGAAAUCCCACAGCUCAUGACACAAUGUCAGAUGUUGUAUCCAAUUGCUCAGAACACAUAGACAAGCCACGCUCAUGAAGACUGAUAGGAAAGAGUUUAUCCAGUGUGUGACUGGCUGAGGAAAUACUCCCUUGACACAGGACACUGGCAAGGAACCUGUCACUGAAAGAUGAGAUGCUCAUCUAGGCCAGGUGCCAACUGCUGGACUCAUGCAUUAUGCUCCAGGAAAUGUUAAGGUAGCCAUCUUUUUCCAUGGCCUGCUGCUUCAAUCCACAGGGGAAAGACAAUCUUUGAGGAUACUGCAAGCUUCAAACUACAAGGCUCCAACUAUGUUGCUCGGGGUGAAGAAGAGUCCUCUGGAGGAAAAUAUUCCUGGAUACCAUAACCACUAGAACGUCUGAUGCAUUUGGGGUCCAACUACUAUGAAGAGGAAUUCAAGCUUAGUUUCUGAAACUGCAUGUGACUGGGAACAAGAGCAUACAGUGUUCAUUUUCUGCUCAGCAAAGUGAGUAUCAGAAGCAGAAACUGAGUUGUUAGCAUAACCUCUUUCAUGUGCAUUUGUUUCCUAAUUUAUUUCUUAGUCCAAAUAUAAGCUAAAUACACGACUGUGCUGCUGUACAUUUUAGAACACACAUGUGACAAAUGAGGGCUGACAUUCGGCUAUGCUUUAAUAGGCUGAACAACUAGCAAAUCCUAUUCUUUUAUUUGCUCCUUUUGCAAUGAGUCUUGACAUCACCUUCUCCUCUUUCUUAAAUUUACUUGCUUAGUG